GGAAAAGACGCCAUUAUUUCUGGUUGGUGUUCCAUCCGAAAAGGUGGAAGGCAAUCCAACACCCUCCAGACUGUGUAAGUACCCGUGAUCACCAACGAAGUGUGCAGGGAACAGUAGGCCUACGGACAAUCUAAUAUUACCGACGACAUGCUAUGUGCGGGAUACCCACACGGUGGCAAAGACGCCUGCCAGGGUGACUCCGGCGGACCAAUGAUUUCCAAGAACGGAGGGCAGCAGAUUGGUGUGGUUUCCUGGGGCAGGGGCUGUGCGCGUCCAGGCUACGCUGGUGUUUACGCUCGAGUCUCUGUCUUGUAUGACUGGAUCAUGAAGUAUAUGAACUAGAAUGAGUAAGCCGAAGUCAAUGGACAACACAUGAAUAUAAAUUUACAAUAUCACGGUAUU